CCUANGGGGGGCAGCAGUGGGGAAUAUUGGACAAUGGGCGAAAGCCUGAUCCAGCAAUGCCGCGUGAGUGAUGAAGGCCCUAGGGUUGUAAAGCUCUUUUACCCGGGAAGAUAAUGACUGUACCGGGAGAAUAAGCCCCGGCUAACUCCGUGCCAGCAGCCGCGGUAAUACGGAGGGGGCUAGCGUUGUUCGGAAUUACUGGGCGUAAAGCGCACGUAGGCGGCUUUGUAAGUUAGAGGUGAAAGCCCGGGGCUCAACCCCGGAAUAGCCUUUAAGACUGCAUCGCUUGAACACGGGAGAGGUGAGUGGAAUUCCGAGUGUAGAGGUGAAAUUCGUAGAUAUUCGGAAGAACACCAGUGGCGAAGGCGGCUCACUGGACCGUUGUUGACGCUGAGGUGCGAAAGCGUGGGGAGCAAACAGGAUUAGAUACCCUUNUANUC
rnacentral:rRNA from 1 species